rnacentral:rRNA from 1 species
GCAUAUCAAUAAGCGGAGGAAAAGAAACUAACAAGGAUUCCCCUAGUAACGGCGAGUGAAGCGGGAAGAGCUCAAAUUUGAAAUCUUCAAGGUUUGACCUUGACGAAUUGUAGUUUAAAGAAGUGUUUUCGGUUAGAGGAGUGGUAAAAGUUCUUUGGAAUAGGACAUCAUAGAGGGUGAGAAUCCCGUAUUUGACCAUUCUUUCUAGCUUUGUGAUACACUUUCAAAGAGUCGGAUUGUUUGGGAAUGCAGUCCAAAAUGGGUGGUAAAUUUCAUCUAAAGCUAGAUAUUGGCGAGAGACCGAUAGCGAACAAGUACCGUGAGGGAAAGAUGAAAAGAACUUUGAAAAGAGAGUUAAACAGUACGUGAAAUUGUCAAAAGGGAAGCGUUUGACACCAGUGUUGUUUUUCCGAAAAUCAGUUAAAAAUGAAAUCAUGCUAGGUUGUAUUGACCUUAUCAGCUUGCAAUUUAGUUUUGGUUUCCUUUUUGAUGCACUUUUCGGUUAACAAGUCAACAUCAAUUUCCUUUGCUGUAAAAAGACGAGAGGAAGGUGGCUUCAAUUUCGGUUGAAGUGUUUAUAGCCUUUCGCCUCUGCAGUCGGGGAGAUUGAGGUCUGCGGCGUAGAUCCUUCGGGGCUAGAUACAGUCGUGCUAAGUUAUAGCCAGUUAUAGACAACUUGUUGACUAUGAUUGGUCUUGUAGCUUACUCGCGGUUGCUAUUUUACCUACGCUUAGGAUGUUGACAAAAUGGUUUUAAACGACCCGUCUUGAAACACGGACC